AUUGUGGAAUGAUUUAUCCUAGCUAACUUGUUGAGGUGCAUGCGCCAUUCAUCAACGAACACCUGUUGGCAUCGUCAACAAUCUUCAAAGUUUUGACGGAAAGAAAUUGUUUUCCAGUUUUAAAAUAUUAAGCGUUCAGCACAACUCAGCCACAAAACAUCGCACUGGAUUACGCUAAGAACCUGUCAAAACGCGCGCAGCCCCCGGGCGCGGUAGGAGAAAGAAAAAACGAGAGGAGGAAAAAAUAA